AUUGAACGCUGGCGGCAGGCUUAACACAUGCAAGUCGAGCGGGGUGAUGGUGCUUGCACUAUCACUUAGCGGCGGACGGGUGAGUAAUGCUUAGGAAUCUGCCUAUUAGUGGGGGACAACAUUUCGAAAGGAAUGCUAAUACCGCAUACGUCCUACGGGAGAAAGCAGGGGAUCUUCGGACCUUGCGCUAAUAGAUGAGCCUAAGUCGGAUUAGCUAGUUGGUGGGGUAAAGGCCUACCAAGGCGACGAUCUGUAGCGGGUCUGAGAGGAUGAUCCGCCACACUGGGACUGAGACACGGCCCAGACUCCUACGGGAGGCAGCAGUGGGGAAUAUUGGACAAUGGGCGGAAGCCUGAUCCAGCCAUGCCGCGUGUGUGAAGAAGGCCUUAUGGUUGUAAAGCACUUUAAGCGAGGAGGAGGCUACUUUAGUUAAUACCUAGAGAUAGUGGACGUUACUCGCAGAAUAAGCACCGGCUAACUCUGUGCCAGCAGCAGCCGCAGUAA
rnacentral:rRNA from 1 species